AAUCUAAGAUUAGGACAUUUUUUUAGCAAGGCUUUGUACCUUUCCCAUGCUUCGCAGAUGUGUUCACCCAAUCCUUGGGAAAAGGUUGCAAUGGCAGCCUUAACACU